GAUGAACGCUGGCGGCGUGCCUAAUACAUGCAAGUCGAGCGAACGGACGAUAAUCUUGCUUCUCUGAUGUUAGCGGCGGACGUGUGUGUAACACGUGUAUAACCUACCUAUAAUACUGGUAUAACUUCGGGAAACCGGAUCUUAUACCGUAUAAUAUUUUGAACCGCAUGGUUCAAAAGUGAAUUACGGUCUUUCUGUCUCUUCUAGAUGGUUCCGGGCUGCAUUAGCUAGUUGUUAAGGUAACGGCUUAACAAGGCAACGAUGCAUAGCCGACGUGAGAGGGGGAUCGGCCACACUGGAAGUGAGACACGGACAAGAGGACUACGGGAGGGAGCAGUAGGGAAUGUGACGCAAUGGGCGAAAGCAUGACGGAGCAAGGGCGAGUGAGAGAUGAAGGUCUUCGGAUCGUAAAACUGUGUUAUUAGGGAAGAACAUAUGUGUAAGGAAAUGUGCACAGAGUGACGGUAACUAAUCAGAAAGCAACGGCUAACUACGUG
rnacentral:rRNA from 1 species